UAUCUAUGAUGGUCUAUUCUUCUGUCCUUAGAUGCCAUGAUAUGUGUUUAUGACUCCCUGGUCCCUUCAAAACUAGAGUUCACCCAUCUGAAAACAAAUCAUGACCAGCUACUUUGUGGAUACAUGCGUUUCAAAAGAAGUGGAUAUGUUCAUUUCACACUCAAUGUCUCAGAACAUCAGCCAACGUUAUGUGCUUGUGCAAAUUCUGGCUCAAAACAAUAAUGGCCAUGGCGGUUCACCAACUCUCUUCACUUGGAUUGAAGUUUCCAAUGUCACCUUUUAGCAUUCCAUGUUUAAUUUAAUGCGCAUCACCAUUCAACAUGUUGAAUUAUGCAAGCUGAAUUAAGUAUGGUUUGUGUUAAUGAAUUGUCUGUACUUUUUAUACAUUAUUUAAUUUUUAUAUUACACAA